rnacentral:misc_RNA from 1 species
UCAAAGUAUCAAGCUUGGCUUGUCGUUGGGCCCUUUGUCACCUGGUGACAGGUCCAAAAGAUAAUGACCGGUGUUAUAGAGACUCUAUAUGCAACGAGCUUAUAACAGCACGCAUCUAGUAGUUAUAUGGCCCGGUUGUCACCCCUUCAUUUAUCAA